rnacentral:tRNA from 1 species
GGGGCUGUGUGUCAGUGGUAGAGCAUCUGCUUAGCAUGAAGGAGGUCUCAGGUUCAAUCCUUGGCAACUCCA